rnacentral:rRNA from 1 species
UACGUAGGGUGCAAGCGUUAAUCGGAAUUACUGGGCGUAAAGCGUGCGCAGGCGGUUGUGCAAGACAGAUGUGAAAUCCCCGGGCUCAACCUGGGAAUUGCAUUUGUGACUGCACGGCUAGAGUGUGUCAGAGGGGUAGAAUUCCACGUGUGAGCAGUGAAAUGCGUAGAUAUGUGGAGGAAUACCGAUGGCGAAGGCAGCCCCUGGGAUAACACUGACGCUCAUGCACGAAGCGUGGGAGCAAACAGG